GCCUGAAGGGAGCUAUUAUCCCCUUAAAGACAGAGCUUCAGAAGAUUGUCUUUCACUUAAUGACAACAGCAUUUUUUUUCAUUUUUUGCUAUUUGUGUUCAACUGCAAUUUGCAUUUUACUAAUUUAUUGCACCGACACAUAUUAUAUAUUGUUUUUAUAGGAUAGAAAGGGCUUUAAUUUGAUGUAAGACAUAUUAUAAUAUAAUAUUAACCCCUAGUUAGCCUAACACCAAAUCCCCCAAUUCCCCACUAACUUCCACACACCCCAGCUAGCUAAACAUAU